rnacentral:rRNA from 1 species
GACGAACGCUGGCGGCGUGCUUAACACAUGCAAGUCGAACGGUAAGGCCCUUCGGGGUACACGAGUGGCGAACGGGUGAGUAACACGUGGGUGAUCUGCCCUGCACUUCGGGAUAAGCCUGGGAAACUGGGUCUAAUACCGGAUAGGACCACUGCCUGCAUGGGUGGUGGUGGAAAGCUUUUGCGGUGUGGGAUGGGCCCGCGGCCUAUCAGCUUGUUGGUGGGGUGAUGGCCUACCAAGGCGACGACGGGUAGCCGGCCUGAGAGGGUGACCGGCCAGACUGGGACUGGGAUGCGGCCCAGACCCCUACGGGAGGCAGCAGUGGGGAAUAUUGCACAAUGGGCGCAAGCCUGAUGCAGCGACGCCGCGUGAGGGAUGACGGCCUUCGGGUUGUAAACCUCUUUCAGCACAGACGAAGCGCAAGUGACGGUAUGUGCAGAAGAAGGACCGGCCAACUACGUGCCAGCCGCCGCCGUAA